rnacentral:rRNA from 1 species
UAGGGAAUCUUCCACAAUGGGCGCAAGCCUGAUGGAGCAACACCGCGUGAGUGAAGAAGGGUUUCGGCUCGUAAAGCUCUGUUGUUAAAGAAGAACAUAUCUGAGAGUAACUGUUCAGGUAUUGACGGUAUUUAACCAGAAAGCCACGGCUAACUACGUGCCAG